AUUGAACGCUGGCGGUAUGCUUUACACAUGCAAGUCGAACGGCAGCACGGACUUCGGUCUGGUGGCGAGUGGCGAACGGGUGAGUAAUGUAUCGGAACGUGCCCAGUCGUGGGGGAUAACGUAGUGAAAAUUACGCUAAUACCGCAUACGAUCUAUGGAUGAAAGCGGGGGAUCGCAAGACCUCGCGCGAUUGGAGCGGCCGAUAUCAGAUUAGGUAGUUGGUGGGGUAAAGGCCCACCAAGCCAACGAUCUGUAGCUGGUCUGAGAGGACGACCAGCCACACUGGAACUGAGACACGGUCCAGACUCCUACGGGAGGCAGCAGUGGGGAAUUUUGGACAAUGGGCGAAAGCCUGAUCCAGCCAUUCCGCGUGCAGGAUGUAGGCCCUCGGGUUGUAAACUGCUUUUGUACAGAACGAAAAGGUUUCUACUAAUACUAGGAGCUCAUGACGGUACUGUAAGAAUAAGCACCGGCUAACUACGUGCCAGCAGCCGCAGUAA
rnacentral:rRNA from 1 species